rnacentral:rRNA from 1 species
GGAGCUUACGCGUUAAGUGUACCGCCUGGGGAGUACGGCCGCAAGGCUAAAACUCAAAAGAAAAUUGACGGGUCCCCGCACAAGCGGAGGAGCAUGCGGCUCAAUUCGAUGCAACGCGAAGAACCUUACCAGGGCUUGGCAUGCAACUGCACGUCCCGUGAAAGUGGGACUCCUUCGAGGGUGUUGCACAGGUGCUGCAUGGCUGUCGUCAGUUCGUGCCGUGAGGUGUUUGGUUAAGUCCAUCAACGAACGCAACCCUUGUGUUUAGUUGCCACCACCGGUGAUGAGCCGGUGAGCACUCUAGACAGACUGCCCAUAUUAAGUGGGAGGAAGGUGGGGAUGACGUCAAGUCCGUAUGGCCCUUAUGUCCUGGGCUGCACGCGUGCUACAAUGGUCGGUACAGAGGGACGCAAUACCGCGAGGUGGAGCAAAUCCCCAAAAACCGAUCUCAGUCCGGAUUGGAGUCUGCAAUUCGACUCCAUGAAGUUGGAUUCGCUAGUAAUGGCACAUCAGCUACGGUGCCGUGAAUACGUUCCCGGGGAUUGUACACACCGCCCGUCACAUCAUGAAAGCUGUCUGCACCAGAAGUUGCUGUUCUAA